rnacentral:rRNA from 1 species
GAUGAACGCUGGCGGCGUGCUUAACACAUGCAAGUCGAACGAAACACCUUAUCUGAUUUUCUUCGGAACUGAAGAUUUGGUGAUUGAGUGGCGGACGGGUGAGUAACGCGUGGGUAACCUGCCCUGUACAGGGGGAUAACAGUCAGAAAUGACUGCUAAUACCGCAUAAGACCACAGCACCGCAUGGUGCAGGGGUAAAAACUCCGGUGGUACAGGAUGGACCCGCGUCUGAUUAGCUGGUUGGUGAGGUAACGGCUCACCAAGGCGACGAUCAGUAGCCGGCUUGAGAGAGUGAACGGCCACAUUGGGACUGAGACACGGCCCAAACUCCUACGGGAGGCAGCAGUGGGGAAUAUUGCACAAUGGGGGAAACCCUGAUGCAGCGACGCCGCGUGAGUGAAGAAGUAUCUCGGUAUGUAAAGCUCUAUCAGCAGGGAAGAAGAUGACGGUACCUGACUAAGA